rnacentral:rRNA from 1 species
CCUACGGGUGGCAGCAGUGAGGAAUAUUGGUCAAUGGACGCAAGUCUGAACCAGCCAAGCCGCGUGAAGGAAGACGGCUCUAUGAGUUGUAAACUUCUUUUGUCAGAGGAUAAACUCAGGUACGUGUACCUGUCUGAAAGUACCGUACGAAUAAGGAUCGGCUAACUCCGUGCCAGCAGCCGCGGUAAUACGGAGGAUGCGAGCGUUAUCCGGAUUUAUUGGGUUUAAAGGGUGCGUAGGCGGUCGGUUAAGUUAGUGGUGAAAUCCCGAGGCUCAACCUCGGAAUUGCAGUUGAUACUGUUCGGCUAGAGAGUAGUAGAGGUAGGCGGAAUGUGUGGUGUAGCGGUGAAAUGCUUAGAGAUCACGCAGAACACCGAUUGCGAAGGCAGCUUACCAGGCUACUUCUGACGUUGAGGCACGAAAGCGUGGGGAGCAAACAGGAUUAGAUACCCCUGUAGUC